CACGUAAAAGUUAGUUGCUUUUUCUGACAGUGGUCAGGCCUUUAUUGAAACUGUAACAGUGAGGCUGUGUGUGUAUUUGUGAAAGCAAUGAGUGUUUUCUCCUUAUAUACUUAGAAAAGGAACACUGUCAGUAAACUCGGAGAGGCCUGCCAAGUAAAACAGAUAUGGAUAUAGUGACACGAAAUACGACAGACAGAGAGAUGGAUAGAGAAAACGAGAAGAGAGGCUGAGAAAGUGGGCUGCUUUGCGGAUGGAUGAUUCGUAUUUCCUGAAAAGAACAGAGAACAAGACACAGGCCUUUUAUGUGGUUCAGGGAGGUGAGAAGAGAACAACCAAGGGAUCUCUUUACUCCUUAGCAUUCAAAAUCUACUCAGAAUCAACAAUCAGUCUACUUUUCCCUCUCUGGAACAGACGAGGUGGACGGGACCAUGAACACCACCAGUAACUGCACUCAACAUGACCUGAUUUUCGUGGGGGUCUAUGCCACCGUCUUCACUGUUGGACUCCUCCUUAACACCACGGCCCUGGUAAUCUUCUGCUGCUCCAAGUCUCGGUCUCACACUACAGUCUACAUGACCCACCUGGCCAUCGCAGACCUCCUCCUGGUCCUCACUCUACCUCUGAGGAUCUACCAUCAUCUGGGCUUCAAAGAUCUACCGCAGAUCCUGUGUGACGGCGUGGCACAGUUUUUGCUGAUCAACAUGUAUGGCAGCAUCUUUCUCCUCACCUGCAUAUGUUUUGACCGCUGCAUGGCUGUGUGUUUCCCCAUGUCAUCCCGGGUCCGAGAGGGACGUAAGAAAGCCCCGCUGGUCUGCCUUGGAGUUUGGGUGCUCACUAUCGGCGCUAGCCUCCCAGGUUACCUUUUAAGAAAAAAAAAUGCACAAUUGGAGGGAAACUGUUUUGGGAAAUUUCCACUUUAUGCCAAACAGCCCUUGGUGGUCGCCUCGAUUUUAAUCGUGGGCUUCGGAGUCCCCUUGGUGGUUAUGUUUGCCUGUUCCUGGGCAUUGAACCGGGCCAUCACCAGGAGCUCUGUGGCCCAGACGGACCUCAUCGACUCAGGGAAGAUCCAGAGGAUGAUUGCAAUAAGCCUGUUGAUAUUCCUCACCUGUUUCCUGCCCUACCAUGUGACUCUGACAGUCCUCUAUGUCCACGGAGAGGCAGAGUCUUGCCCCCUGCUAUUGACAUUCCGCUAUAGCCUGAUGGUGGCGUGUCUUAAUGCCAUGUUGGACCCACUGGCUUAUUACUUCACCAAGGAGACGUUCAGAAAUAAGGUUGAUUUGGAUGUGUUCAGGAGGAUGUUCCCACUCAACAGUCAGACCAGCUCUACGGGAAACAACCGAGGAUCCAAGGCUGCAGUCAACACUUAAAGAUUAUAUUUUACUUUCUUUUUCUUUUUCAGCUGGAAUCAAAUGUUUUAUUAUUUGCAUAAUCUAUAAGUAGAAUCACUGUCAUAACUUAUAUAGCCAUGAAAUUUCAAGUUUCAGAACAAAUGGUUUUGAUGACAUGUGGUACAUAUAAGGAACAUAUACACUGCAUGAACAAUUAUUAGACAAAUGGAUCCAAAACUCUUGAAAUAGCUAAACUAUCGAGGCGUGACCACCAGACACUCAAACGUUUUGUUGCAAAUAGUCAACCGGGGUGCAAAAAACGCAUGGAGAAGAAAAGACCCAAAUUAACUCCAAAAGACUUGAGAAGGUCAAUUAAACGUCAAGCUACCAGGAAAUGGUGUCAAGUGCUCAGAGACAUGGCCACGGUCAAGAAGGCCAUGUCUAAUUUAGUUGCCUAAUAAUUGUAC